rnacentral:rRNA from 1 species
UGCCAGACUCCUACGGGAGGCAGCAGUGGGGGAUAUUGCGCAAUGGCGGAAACUCUGACGCAGUGACGCCGCGUAUAGGAAGAAGGUUUUCGGAUUGUAAACUAUUGUCAUUAGGGAAGAAAAAAGACAGUACCUAAGGAGGAAGCUCCGGCUAACUACGUGCCAGCAGCCGCGGUAAUACGUAGGGAGCGAGCGUUAUCCGGAAUUAUUGGGUGUAAAGGGUGCGUAGACGGGAAAAUAAGUUAGUUGUGAAAUCCCUCGGCUCAACUGAGGAACUGCAACUAAAACUGUAUUUCUUGAGUGCAGGAGAGGAAAGUGGAAUUCCUAGUGUAGCGGUGAAAUGCGUAGAUAUUAGGAGGAACACCAGUGGCGAAGGCGACUUUCUGGACUGCAACUGACGUUGAGGCACGAAAGUGUGGGGAGCAAACAGGAUUAGAUACCCGUGUACA